CGGGGACGGGGCAGCUCCCGCCCCGCCUCCGGCCCGGCCCCGGCGCUGUGCUCGCCCCGGCUGCUUCUGUCUGCAGGGUUCCCUCGCCUCUCCGCCGGACCCAGGCGGAGGGCAGCGAGGGUGAUUGGGAGACUGGAGCAUCUCACUUAACUAGGGAGAGCUGGGCCUGUUCAGCCUCCAGAAGAGACGAUUGAGAUGGGACCCCAUCAAUGUCUGUUCUGCAAGCCUUGAGAAUGGGAAGUUCUUCAGCAUCAGUCCCAGAAGUCCCUGCUCAUUUGGCAGCUCCCAUAGUAUCAGCACUGCUGAAGAUUAGGAGGUCCUUUCCAGUAACUGCCAUGGUAUGAAGCUGGUGUGAAGUUUGUUAUAAAACACAACAGAAGUGGUUCACAACAAGCAGUGCAGGAGGGCAGGUGGGCACAUGGGGAGAACGUGAAACAGAGGUUCUAGGAGCCCUGCUGGACCUCAUGUCACUGUUCCUUCAUAAAAGAGCCUUCAUGGAAGCAGUAAUGAUCUCCACUCCAGUAUCAAUGUCUUCUUGGACAUCACAUGGUCAUCUUCUGGAACUAAAUCAGAAAUUUUAACUGAAAUCUCUAAAUCCAUGUUAGACUCCAACUGCUAUUUAGUUUUAAAGAACUGUGAUUAGUAACAGCUUACUUUUUUUUAACUCACCUGUUACUUCUCUGAAUAAUAUCAAUGUCCUAUUAGCUUUUAAGUAUAGUUAACUGAAUGAAU